CGCACGACACCGCUCAGAGCAACGCUUCGCCUCAGUGCAAAUAUAAGACUCGCGUCGCAUCUCGUAUAAAGUCGUCGACACAAGGCAGCCACUCCGUGAAGUUAACAGAAAAGACCUCGUACCUCCAUUCUUCUGUAAAGAUGAAGCCAUCAAACGCGCAGGUAGUUUUCAUCGUGUCCGUCGUGCUAGUGCUGAUGAGCAGUCAAUACAGCGAAGCCGCGUUGAUGAGAAUUUGUGGCCGAGAGCUACCGAGAGCGAUCUAUCAGGUCUGCUCCCUCAGUCGCAGGAAAAGAAGCACAACGGACAUGGACACCACUGCGGAUGGAUUUGCGGAUGAGUCAUUGAUGUCGAUGAUGGAGCCAGCAACAGCGAGAAGCAAGCGGCGAAACAGUUCAGCAAUGGCGGCCAAGCGAGUACCGAUGGCGCUGCUAGCCGAUAUGUGCUGCGCCAGCGGAUGCUCGUUGUACGAUCUCAUGGGAGCCUGCUGAUAGCUAGCUGCUUGGAGACGAUCAACGUUCGUCGCUCGGUUCCCCGUCGAAAGGUUUUGGUAACGAGACUAAAGGUUCGAGAGAGGACAGCAUAGAAAGAAACGAUGAGAGGCUGGUACGAAUCGCAUUUGCACAGGUUGAUUUGCACAGGUUGUGACGUAGAAUAUCCUCUGUUCAAAUAUCUGAUGUAGAACACCUCCUAAUACAGAAUCAAAAUAGAGUUCAUUAAAAAGAAAGUUGUAUGUGAGUAACAAUCGUAAAUUAAUAUUAGAUUCGAUUAAAAAUUUUGUGUGCUUUUACUUGAAAGGCAAUGUACGUUGAUAUUGCGCAAGUACCUUGAUAUAUUGCGAUCAUAGUGUGAUCAUACGUGCGUUUAGGCUUCACACUCUUAAACUUGCAAUUUUGUAUUAAAGCAUUUAUAGCAUUUAUUAAACUACACGCGAAAAGUUCCAUAUUUUUGACGUAUUCUACCUGACAAUAAAUGGCUGAGACUGGCUGCCAUCGUAAUAUGAAAUAGGCUUCGCAUUCUAAUGUAUAGAGUGCCUAAUGUCUACUCACCAUCAUAUGAUUUGUAAUCUAAUGUUGUUACAAUGUUUAAAUACUAUACCUGCCCACAAAGAAAAAUCUAAAUUAUAUAAUAUUUUAUUUAUUUUA